rfam:Dipodomys ordii contig_34244, whole genome shotgun sequence.
GGGAAGGUGGCUCAGUGGUAGAGCGCUUGCCUUGCAUGCAUGAGACCCUGGGUUUGAUUCCUCAGCAGCACCA